rnacentral:rRNA from 1 species
UACGUAGGUGGCAAGCGUUGUCCGGAUUUACUGGGCGUAAAGAGCGCGCAGGCGGUCGAUCAAGUCGCGUGUGAAAGCCCCCGGCUCAACUGGGGAGGGUCACGCGAUACUGAUCGACUCGAAGGCAGGAGAGGGUAGUGGAAUUCCCGGUGUAGUGGUGAAAUGCGUAGAUAUCGGGAGGAACACCAGUGGCGAAGGCGACUACCUGGCCUGUUCUUGACGCUGAGGCGCGAAAGCUAGGGGAGCGAACCGG